AGGAAGAGAGCGCUAAUAUUAAAACAGAUUUUUGCCGGGGCGUAUACAACUGCUGGCAUGCUACUCACUAUAGGGAUGGGGAAUUGAAUUGAAAUAUUCC
rnacentral:lncRNA from 1 species